AAAAGCNUCGAGGAUAAUUUUAUUUUACACACUGUUGAUACCUCACAAUUCUUCGCGUAUGUGAAGACAGAGUGAUAAUUCUGUUGUACUUUCUUAUGAAUGACACAGUGAACGGAAGCUUAUGGAAUUCUCAUGCAGAAACGGUGCUGAUCUGAAGAAAAUCUCGUUGACGAUUACGUUAGAAAGAAAGAUUUCCAAAGUAACUGAAGAUGAUUUCUCAGAUUCACUACCAAUUAAUAAACAGAAGAGUAACAAACGAAGAAUUGUUUCCAGGAAAAAGGAUGAGUCGAGGAAUGCGUUUAACUUCUGUUUACAGAAGACUAAAUUGAAGACAGUGAUAAGAAAUUAUAUUAGAAUAUGAAGAAAGGAAGAAUAUAUGUCAAGCAAAUGAAGAGAAAAAGAAAAUGAAAUGAAGAUAUCUUAAAUAAUUUUCAAAUACAUUAUUUGUUAAAAUACACUUUAUAUAAAUUGUUUGAGAUAAAUGUAUAAAUUACAUUUAUUUGUGAUAGUAUGUUUAUACUGCUUGAAAAUAUUCGCAAAUACUGGUGUAAGCAUUUUAUGUAUGGACCACAUCACACAAUAAAUCAGUUAGUUGUAAGGUUUAAACUUUAGUGUAAAGAAACUUGUUAAAGGAAAAAUUAUUUUUUCUAUCUGCACACACAAGUUUAACAAUCCCUUAAAAAUAGCGCGCCUGAAUUUAGAUAUUUACAUAUUUGAUUAGCAAUAAAUUGAAGGGAGUUUUGGUUUUAAUGCUCUAAUCGUAUUUUACAGGUUUAAAAAAGAAUAAGAAGUCAAGAAAAAGGAAGUCAAGAAAGAGGAAGUAUCGAUGUGGCAGUUGCGAGAAAGAAUAUAUUUCGAAAAAUGGGUUAAAA
rnacentral:misc_RNA from 1 species